rnacentral:rRNA from 1 species
UACGAAGGGGGCUAGCGUUGCUCGGAAUCACUGGGCGUAAAGGGUGCGUAGGCGGGUCUUUAAGUCAGGGGUGAAAUCCUGGAGCUCAACUCCAGAACUGCCUUCGAUACUGGGAGUCUCGAGUCCGGGAGAGGUGAGUGGAACUGCGAGUGUAGAGGUGAAAUUCGUAGAUAUUCGCAAGAACACCAGUGGCGAAGGCGGCUCACUGGCCCGGUACUGACGCUGAGGUGCGAAAGCGUGGGGAGCAAACAGG